UUCACUCUGGGACAAGCCCUGGAAACGGGGUCUAAUACCGGAUAACACUCCUGCCUGCAUGGGCGGGGGUUAAAAGCUCCGGCGGUGAAGGAUGAGCCCGCGGCCUAUCAGCUUGUUGGUGGGGUAAUGGCCCACCAAGGCGACGACGGGUAGCCGGCCUGAGAGGGCGACCGGCCACACUGGGACUGAGACACGGCCCAGACUCCUACGGGAGGCAGCAGUGGGGAAUAUUGCACAAUGGGCGAAAGCCUGAUGCAGCGACGCCGCGUGAGGGAUGACGGCCUUCGGGUUGUAAACCUCUUUCAGCAGGGAAGAAGCGAAAGUGACGGUACCUGCAGAAGAAGCGCCGGCUAACUACGUGCCAGCAGCCGCGGUAAUACGUAGGGCGCAAGCGUUGUCCGGAAUUAUUGGGCGUAAAGAGCUCGUAGGCGGCUUGUCACGUCGGAUGUGAAAGCCCGAGGCUUAACCUCGGGUCUGCAUUCGAUACGGGCUAGCUAGAGUGUGGUAGGGGAGAUCGGAAUUCCUGGUGUAGCGGUGAAAUGCGCAGAUAUCAGGAGGAACACCGGUGGCGAAGGCGGAUCUCUGGGCCAUUACUGACGCUGAGGAGCGAAAGCGUGGGGAGCGAACAGGAUUAGAUACCCUGGUAGUCCACGCCGUAAACGUUGGGAACUAGGUGUUGGCGAC
rnacentral:rRNA from 2 species